UAGGAUAAAAUACCAGCUUUGGGAGUUGGAGUCGGGGGUUUGAAGUCCCCCUUUUCUGAGGGAGUGGGAGG
rnacentral:tRNA from 1 species